rnacentral:rRNA from 1 species
AGCUCCAAUAGCGUAUAUUGACGUUGUUGCGGUUAAAAAGCUCGUAGUUGGAUUUCUGCCGAGGACGACCGGUCCGCCCUCUGGGUGCGUAUCUGGCUCGGCCUGGGCAACUUCUUGGAGAACGUAUCUGCACUUGACUGUGUGGUGCGGUAUCCAGGACUUUUACUUUGAGGAAAUUAGAGUGUUUCAAGCAGGCUCACGCCUUGAAUACAUUAGCAUGGAAUAAUAAGAUAGGACCUCGGUUCUAUUUUGUUGGUUUCUAGAGCUGAGGUAAUGAUUAAUAGGGAUAGUUUGGGGGCAUUCGUAUUUAACUGUCAGAGGUGAAAUUCUUGGAUUUGUUAAAGACGGACUACUGCGAAAACAUUUGCCAAGGAUGUUUUCA